ACAGCAGCAGCCGCGGGAAUACGUAGGUGGCAAGCGUUGUCCGGAAUUAUUGGGCGUAAAGGGCUCGCGGGCGGUUUCUUAAGUCUGAUGUGAAAGCCCCCGGCUCAACCGGGGAGGGUCAUUGGAAACUGGGAAACUUGAGUGCAGAAGAGGAGAGUGGAAUUCCACGUGUAGCGGUGAAAUGCGUAGAGAUGUGGAGGAACACCAGUGGCGAAGGCGACUCUCUGGUCUGUAACUGACGCUGAGGAGCGAAAGCGUGGGGAGCGAACAGGAUUAGAUACCCGUGUAGUCCCUGUCUCUUAUAC
rnacentral:rRNA from 1 species